UACGUAGGGACCAAGCGUUGUUCGGAUUUACUGGGCGUAAAGGGCGCGUAGGCGGCAAUUCAAGUCAGCUGUGAAAUCUCCGGGCUUAACUCGGAACGGUCAGCUGAUACUGCUUUGCUAGAGUGCAGAAGGGGCAAUCGGAAUUCUUGGUGUAGCGGCGAAAUGCGUAGAUAUCAGGAGGAACACCCGUGGCGAAGGCGGCUCUCUGGGACGGUACUGACGCUGAGACGCGAAAGCGUGGGGAGCGAACAGG
rnacentral:rRNA from 1 species